UGGGGAAUAUUGGACAAUGGGCGAAAGCCUGAUCCAGCCAUGCCGCGUGUGUGAAGAAGGUCUUCGGAUUGUAAAGCACUUUAAGUUGGGAGGAAGGGCAUUAACCUAAUACGUUAGUGUUUUGACGUUACCGACAGAAUAAGCACCGGCUAACUCUGUGCCAGCAGCCGCGGUAAUACAGAGGGUGCAAGCGUUAAUCGGAAUUACUGGGCGUAAAGCGCGCGUAGGUGGUUUGUUAAGUUGGAUGUGAAAUCCCCGGGCUCAACCUGGGAACUGCAUUCAAAACUGACUGACUAGAGUAUGGUAGAGGGUGGUGGAAUUUUCUGUGUAGCGGUGAAAUGCGUAGAUAUAGGAAGGAA
rnacentral:rRNA from 1 species